rnacentral:rRNA from 1 species
GUGUCAGCAGCCGCGGUAAUACGGAGGGUGCAAGCGUUAAUCGGAAUCACUGGGCGUAAAGCGCGCGUAGGCUGUUUUGUAAGUUAGGGGUGAAAGCCCACGGCUCAACCGUGGAACUGCCUUUAAAACUGCGAGACUUGAGUACGGGAGAGGGUGGCGGAAUUCCAGGUGUAGGGGUGAAAUCCGUAGAUAUCUGGAGGAACACCGGUGGCGAAGGCGGCCACCUGGCCCGUAACUGACGCUGAGGUGCGAAAGCGUGGGUAGCAAACAGGAUUAGAUACCCUGGUAGUCCACGCUGUAAACGAUGGAUACUAGGUGCUGGGGAGUUAUCUUCGGUGCCGUAGCUAACGCGUUAAGUAUCCCGCCUGGGGAGUACGGUCGCAAGGCUGAAACUUAAAUGAAUUGACGG